CUUCUCCGCACAUCCUCUUCACCUCAUCAGCAUCCCAGCCAUCAGGAUAUAUCAUACAGCCCAACACCAGACACGUACCUAAGAGAGAAAGCAGGCAUUGUGAGUCGUCCAGGUUAGCAGUGAAGGAUGAAAAAAGGUGCUUCCUCACGCUCAUCUUCCCCUGACAUCGCUUGACUUGGCAUUUGUUUGAAAUGGCUUUACAUCCCAGCCAAUGGAAGGAGAAGAAAGAAGCACCAAGGACGAUAAGGGAAGGAGACAAGAUGGAUGGAGAGAGGAGAAUAUAAUGCAAGAGAGGGAUGAAUGGUGGGAAAGAAUAGAAGAAAAGAGAAUAAGAGAGAGAAAAUCACCUCACUGCAUCCAUGCUUGACAGUGAAUGUAUCUCGUCAUAGCUGAUGCAAAUGCAUCAGUGGGAGUGCUGCAGAAUCAAUGCCUCUGUUACGGGCAUUGUAGGAGAUUUGCAGACGCUCCCAUGGGCGACAAGGUAAGCACCCCACUGUCCAAACGGCAACUAGCAGCAAUAACAUCUGCUCCCUGCAGAGGGUUUGAUGGCAUCAAACAUUCACACUUCCCUCAAGGGACAGCAGUCGAUUUCCAAGAGAUGGGUCUUCAGUAUGAACUUCUGAGAAAACCCACCAACCAGCCAAUUACGGUGAUUACAG